UAUCGGAGCGAGAAAUUCGACUCGACUUCUAUUUUUGAAUUACAGUCAGUCUUUUUCUCUCUCCUAUA
rnacentral:pre_miRNA from 1 species